rnacentral:rRNA from 1 species
GACGAACGCUGGCGGCGUGCCUAAUACAUGCAAGUAGAACGCUGAAGAGAGGAGCUUGCUCUUCUUGGAUGAGUUGCGAACGGGUGAGUAACGCGUAGGUAACCUGCCUUGUAGCGGGGGAUAACUAUUGGAAACGAUAGCUAAUACCGCAUAACAAUGGAUGACACAUGUCAUUUAUUUGAAAGGGGCAAUUGCUCCACUACAAGAUGGACCUGCGUUGUAUUAGCUAGUAGGUGAGGUAACGGCUCACCUAGGCGACGAUACAUAGCCGACCUGAGAGGGUGAUCGGCCACACUGGGACUGAGACACGGCCCAGACUCCUACGGGAGGCAGCAGUAGGGAAUCUUCGGCAAUGGGGGCAACCCUGACCGAGCAACGCCGCGUGAGUGAAGAAGGUUUUCGGAUCGUAAAGCUCUGUUGUAAGUCAAGAACGAGUGUGAGAGUGGAAAGUUCACACUGUGACGGUAGCUUACCAGAAAGGGACGGCUAACUACGUGCCAGCAGCCGCGGUAAUACGUAGGUCCCGAGCGUUGUCCGGAUUUAUUGGGCGUAAAGCGAGCGCAGGCGGUUUGAUAAGUCUGAAGUUAAAGGCUGUGGCUCAACCAUAGUUCGCUUUGGAAACUGUCAAACUUGAGUGCAGAAGGGGAGAGUGGAAUUCCAUGUGUAGCGGUGAAAUGCGUAGAUAUAUGGAGGAACACCGGUGGCGAAAGCGGCUCUCUGGUCUGUAACUGACGCUGAGGCUCGAAAGCGUGGGGAGCGAACAGGAUUAGAUACCCUGGUAGUCCACGCCGUAAACGAUGAGUGCUAGGUGUUGGAUCCUUUCCGGGAUUCAGUGCCGCAGCUAACGCAUUAAGCACUCCGCCUGGGGAGUACGACCGCAAGGUUGAAACUCAAAGGAAUUGACGGGGGCCCGCACAAGCGGUGGAGCAUGUGGUUUAAUUCGAAGCAACGCGAAGAACCUUACCAGGUCUUGACAUCCCGAUGCUAUUUCUAGAGAUAGAAAGUUACUUCGGUACAUCGGUGACAGGUGGUGCAUGGUUGUCGUCAGCUCGUGUCGUGAGAUGUUGGGUUAAGUCCCGCAACGAGCGCAACCCCUAUUGUUAGUUGCCAUCAUUCAGUUGGGCACUCUAGCGAGACUGCCGGUAAUAAACCGGAGGAAGGUGGAGAUGACGUCAAAUCAUCAUGCCCCUUAUGACCUGGGCUACACACGUGCUACAAUGGUUGGUACAACGAGUUGCGAGUCGGUGACGGCAAGCUAAUCUCUUAAAGCCAAUCUCAGUUCGGAUUGUAGGCUGCAACUCGCCUACAUGAAGUCGGAAUCGCUAGUAAUCGCGGAUCAGCACGCCGCGGUGAAUACGUUCCCGGGCCU